GGUGGCUCAGUGGUAGAGCACUUGCCUUGCAUGCAUGAGGCCCUGUAUUCGAUUCCUCAGCACCA
rnacentral:tRNA from 1 species